GAUGAACGCUAGCUACAGGCUUAACACAUGCAAGUCGAGGGGAAACGACAUCGAAAGCUUGCUUUUGAUGGGCGUCGACCGGCGCACGGGUGAGUAACGCGUAUCCAACCUGCCCACCACUUGGGGAUAACCUUGCGAAAGUAAGACUAAUACCCAAUGAUAUCUCUAGAAGACAACUGAAAGAGAUUAAAGAUUUAUCGGUGAUGGAUGGGGAUGCGUCUGAUUAGCUUGUUGGCGGGGUAACGGCCCACCAAGGCUACGAUCAGUAGGGGUUCUGAGAGAAAGGUCCCCCACAUUGGAACUGAGACACGGUCCAAACUCCUACGGGAGGCAGCAGUGAGGAAUAUUGGUCAAUGGGCGAGAGCCUGAACCAGCCAAGUAGCGUGCAGGAUGACGGCCCUAUGGGUUGUAAACUGCUUUUAUAAGGGAAUAAAGUGAGCCUCGUGAGGCUUUUUGCAUGUACCUUAUGAAUAAGGACCGGCUAAUUCCGUGCCAGCCGCCGCGGUAA
rnacentral:rRNA from 1 species